ensembl:lncRNA
UGUGGUUCUACGGGAAGUGUGGGCUGGGUUUCUUCUAUCUGGACCGUGGCGGAACAUGGGGGUUUGUGAGGUCAGAAGGGAGGAGAUGCCGAGGUGGAAACUGCAGCCUUCUGUUCAUUGUGUAGACCUGGGGAAGAAUGAGGGGGCAGUCGAUUGGCUGCAAAAGGAGGCUGGGGAAGCUGAAUAGUGAUAACAACAGUUACCAUUUACUGGGCAUCUUUUCUAUGCCAACACUACUGUAAAGGCGAUAUUCAAAUCAACGCCCUAUAGGUGAAGAAAUCGAGGCCCAGAAAGUCUCAGUUCAUCAGAGACUGAGCCCCGAGACCAUCACCCAAGAGGUUCACCCUCAACAGAUGGGUUCCCUAAAUCCUGCCUUGUUCUCAAGAAGGCUGAAUGCAGAGGUAUCCAUGCCAAGACUGCACUAAGAGAGUUCCAGCAACCUCUUUGCUAACUCUGCUUUACUGCUCGGGAACACAUCAAUUGUCAAAAUUCCGUUAGGAAAUGAAGUGAUGUUGGCCUGGUUCCUCUCAGCUACCCUGGCUUCCUCCAACUGAGAGGGACAGCAGUCACCCCCUGUCAGAGAGCCUGGCCUGAGAUGAAGGAAAGAACUGCCAACACAGUGGGGUGCAGGAGAAGCCAGAGGCCCACCUGCCCCAAAUUACCUACCUCCUUGGGCUGCUUCUGUGCUCGGAACUCCUGCCAUUGGCUUCUCUUGCCCGGAUCAAGGCCCAGUCAGAAACAUGAAUUUGUGAGCUGAGGAUUCACUUUGGGCAGGAGUACCAGCAGCUUUCUUGACAAUCACAUGGGGAGAGUCAGUUGGAGGAGUGAAACCUUAUAGAGACAAGAUGAGCAGAGAGGUAGAGAAAGAAAACCAACCGUGAUGAGCCCCUUGCUCCAGUGUGCCUCAAGCCACCUGUAUCUCUGGACCUUCCAGUUACGUAUUUUCAAACCUCAAAAUGAAGAGAGGAAGUUGGAGUGAGUGAACCCCGAGUUCAGACAGUUACACCUCCAGCUCCCACCUGUGCUGACCAGCUCCUUCCCUGCCUCCUGCCCACACACCUCCAUCUGACUGGCUGCCAUAUUGGGCUGGGAAGAGAGAAAGGGGCAGAAGAGGAGAGAAUAAGGAAAAGGACCAAAGUGGUUUCAGUUUGAAAACCAUAAUGAAUUUAACAUAGAUCAAGAAAAGCCGCAGAAGCAAUUUUUCCCAUCUGGGAAGGAACAGAAUCUACAAUUUUGUGCCAUUUGUCUACCCUGUCACUAACUGCAGAGAAAACAUUCUAACACUGUCCUUUGUGGCCUCAAGCCAUUUCCCUGGGGCUAUUGGACUAAAAAAACCCAGAGAAAUAAAAAAAUCAGAAUCUAAGUAAAACUUGAACGUUAGUCAGAGACCCGCGGCACAGGGAUUCAUUCAGCUGGUUAUUUUAAAUAAUUCACUCCAGAAAAAGACUGGUUGAGUACGUGUAUAUAUCUCACCAACUUCAACAUCAUUCACAGAUGUUGGCAAGUGACUAAAAAAGAAGUGGAACUUUGUUUGAUGUUUAGAGAUGGGUGUACCCAAUUAUACCCACAGAAUUCGAGAACUGGAAGGAGACUGAGAAAUCAGUUAGUAGAGUAAGUCAGGGCAUGAAACCUUUUUCUGGGGGGCUGCUUCUGAGUUUCCUUAAAUUUUAUGAUCACAGGAGACAUAAACCUUGAUGUGGCUGGAGAGGGAAAGGAAGGGGUAUACGGAGCACGUGAUGCUAUCAUCUUUCUGCUUUAACGUCUCACGUCUCCCCCGCCUGUAGCAGCAUUUCUGUGGAACAUCAGUCUCCCAGGCUCCUCUCUGCAAAGGUUUGCACAGUCAUGCUCCUUUGGGAAAUGCUGCCAGUUACAUCCCACUCUUGGAAAUUUGCAAUGCGCAUCCACGUAAUAAAUGCUGUUGAACCAAGCAGUCCUGGAAUAAAGAAAACCUCCUUAACUCUGUUUAAGCCAAGCUUCCAAUCUUAUUUUAUGAUUGUAUCAGGUAGGAUACAGCUGCAAGUGACAGAAACUCUGACUCAAAACUGGGAUAAACAAUAAGGACAUGGGUCCUUCACAAACCAGACGCUCAGCAAGGUAAAGCAGGUUUUGGAGAUUUCUCCUCCCGUUUUUCUGCUCUGGCGUUCUCAGUGAUGGCUUCCUCAUUAGGCCGAUCAAGACGGCAGUUCCAGGCAUCACAUUCAGGGCUGACACAUGGCAGAGGAAGAAGAGAGAGCAUUUCUUCCUGAGAAGAAACUCUCCCGCAAGGACCGUGACAUCCAUUCAGGUCUCAUUGGCCAGAAUCACAUCACGUGUCCACUCCUGAGUCAGUCAUUGGCAAAAAGAAUGGCGUUUCCCUCUGACCAUUCGCCCUGAAGCUGGAGGUGAGUCAGCUUCCCUGAAGCAGGUGGCUGCGUGGAGGUGGAAUGUAUUCCUGAACAAAACUGGAGCUCUGUUGGGAAGGCAGCGCAGAAUGGGCAGGCAGUCAACAGUGUCCACUCCAACUGCAGACUCCCUUUCACACUUAACACCCUGUGAUGGCCAAUUCUAUGUGUCCACUUGACUGGUCCGCAGGGUGCCCAUAAAUUUGCUCAAACAUUAUUCCGGGCGUGUCUGUGACGGUGUCUCUGGAUGAGAUUAACAUCUGAAUCGGUAGACUGACUAAAGCGCAUUGCCUCCCCAGUGUGGGUGAGCUCAUCCAAUCCGUUGAAGACCUGAAGAGAAUGAAAAGACUGAGAAGUGAACUCCUCCUGCCUGACUACCUGAGCGAUGACAUUGGUUUCUCCCAGUGUUUGAACUUGAAACAUCAGCUCUUCUUGGGUCUCCAGCUUGCUGACUGCAGAUCUUGGGACUUAUCAGCCUCCACUUCCUGAGAAUAAGUCUUUUCUUUUUACACAUAUAUACACAUAUGUGUAUGUGUGUGCAUGUUGUUGUUGUUCCUCUUUGAGACUUAGCACAAUAUGUGGUACUUGACUAGUGCUCAACAAAUGCUUGUGAAUGACUGGCUGACUGAUCUUCAUACCUAAGGAAACUGAAAUUCCGACAGGGUGAAGUGAGAAGCACAAUAUCACAUAGAAAGGAAGUGCUAGAACUUGGAACCUGGGUCUCCUGACUUCUGAAAUCAGGAGCUGUGCAUGACACCUAGAGGUUGCAUCCCACCAUGUGACAGCAUUCCUGUUACUCAAGUAACAAACUUUUAUUGAACACCUAUUAUGUGCCAGACACUCUUCUGGGGAUCCAUGAUGAAGAAGACACAAUCCCUGCCCUCAAGGCACCAGAUAGCCUUCCCCUGGACCAAAGCCUCCAGCUGGCCUCCCUGCAUCCAGGCUUCUGCUCCUCCCAUCCAUCCCUCAGGGCACCACCAGAAUGACUUCUUGGUUUACAUGCUUCAAAAGCGAUGGCCUCCUGGGAAUAAUGUGCACACUCCUGGCCUUCCAUUGUGGUAACCCAUCCAUAAUCUAACUUCUCUUACCCACACAGACUCACAUUUGACCACUGGCCAACUCAGCCUUUCUCACUGUGGGGACAAGACUGCUCACUGCCCCACAAACCACACAGCAGACUUCUUUCCAUCUCCACACCUUUGCUCCUUUGGUGCCUCCCAGCUGACAAACUUUCUUCACUUCUCAACUUGUAACUGGCAUGACCUACUUCAUUAGCUUGGAGUACAAGCAUAUUCACUUUUUCUUCCUCAAUUAAACCCUUGGAGGUCUUACAUGUUUCUAUUAGAAUUAUAUUUCCAUCUUUAUGAUCUCCUAAAAUUUGUACAAGAGUCCCACGAGCUUUCUAAGUAAAAUGAAACGACAACUAGAAAAUCUAA